rnacentral:lncRNA from 1 species
CUGAGAACUGCCCGCCUUUGGGGGAGGACUUCAGACGGCCACAGGUUGUGCAAUGGACGCGUGGACCCAUCUUAUCCAGGGAGGCCUCUGCUGACAUCUGUGUUACAUAAUAAACACAGCCAUUGCUAAAAAUAAUGGUGAUAAUAUCACAAAAUAAAAUUAAGAAUUAAGUCGGUAGGUCAAGUAUUUGGCGUCUUAGAACGCUGAGGCCCAGAGAGGUUAGUUAACGUAUCUACGGGACCUGGUGUAAUGGUAAACUCUGCUCUGUUUUCAGGUUCUCUGGCUCCUAGUCCCUUCUUCUCACUCCUUGCCCGGAAGGAGAGAGUGUCGCCGCUGAGGUAGAUGCGGGGUAGCUCCUCCCUGUCACUCUUCAGGCACCAUGUGCUCCUGGUCCCUCGUGGGCUCGGCUUUCCUCUUCGCGGCUCCCACAGGGGCCUUGGGGUCGAUCAAUGACUAGUUCUGUAGAUGAGCUGAGCUCAGAGAUUGUUCCUGCAUAGACGAGACCCACCCGCGCUCAAACACCCAGCCAGAGAAGCCACAAGAC